rnacentral:rRNA from 1 species
GUGGGGAAUCUUGCGCAAUGGGCGAAAGCCUGACGCAGCCAUGCCGCGUGAAUGAUGAAGGUCUUAGGAUUGUAAAAUUCUUUCACCGGGGACGAUAAUGACGGUACCCGGAGAAGAAGCUCCGGCUAACUUCGUGCCAGCAGCCGCGGUAAUACGAAGGGGGCUAGCGUUGCUCGGAAUUACUGGGCGUAAAGGGCGCGUAGGCGGACAGCUUAGUCAGAGGUGAAAGCCCAGGGCUCAACCUUGGAAUUGCCUUUGAUACUGGCUGUCUUGAGUUUGGGAGAGGUGAGUGGAACUCCGAGUGUAGAGGUGAAAUUCGUAGAUAUUCGGAAGAACACCAGUGGCGAAGGCGACUCACUGGCCCGUUACUGACGCUGAGGCGCGAAAGCGUGGGGAGCAAACAGGAUUAGAUACCCUAGUAGUCC